rnacentral:lncRNA from 1 species
ACUGUUAAUUAAAAAUUCUAAAAGGAAAAAAAACAAGUAAAAUAGGAGAGAGCACAUCUAGUACUAAUAAUGAUAAUACGAUUACGAGUUAUCAACUUACAGAUAGUAAAACAAAAUCGGAAAUAAGUAAUUACACAUUUUUAAAAAAGGAUAAUGAAAUUGUUAAUAUAAACAUAAAUAAGGUUGAGGAAAAAGUAAAAAAUAAUAACGAAUUAGUGAUAAAUGAUAAAUUAGUUACAGAUAACGAAUUAGUGAUAAAUGAUGGAAUAAGUGAAAAUAAAAUUAGCGAAAAAAGUACAGAAUAUGACAGUAGCACAACUAGUAAAAAAGAAACAGAAAGCGAUAGUGAAAUAACUAGUAGUGAAGAACUAAACUAUGAAUUAAUAAAAACAACUAAAAAUGGAAAGAAAAGAGAAAAGAAUAAAAUAAACAGUAUACAGUUGAGUAAUGCCGCAAAAGAACAUAAUAGAAAAAAAAAAAAAAAAGAUUUACAUUUGAUGAACAAAAGUAUUAGAUGUGCGAUUGGAGUUGAAGCAUUAAACGAAAAUAGAAAAUAUAAUGUUUUGAAAAAAAAAAAAAAAAGUUUCCGUUUUAUUAUAACAUUGGAGCAGAUUUAG